GCCUACGGGAGGCAGCAGUGGGGGAUAUUGCACAAUGGGGGAAACCCUGAUGCAGCGACGCCGCGUGGGCGAAGAAGUAUUUCGGUAUGUAAAGCCCUAUCAGCAGGGAAGAAGAAAUGACGGUACCUGAGUAAGAAGCACCGGCUAAAUACGUGCCAGCAGCCGCGGUAAUACGUAUGGUGCAAGCGUUAUCCGGAUUUACUGGGUGUAAAGGGAGCGCAGGCGGCACGGCAAGCCUGAUGUGAAAGCCCGGGGCCCAACCCCGGGACUGCUCUGGGAACUGUGCGGCUGGAGUGCGGGAGGGG
rnacentral:rRNA from 1 species